AGCCAUAACCCACGAAAACCAUGUCUCUCUACUUCUACUUUCCUUUGGCUUCUUCUCUCGCUUUGGCUCUGGAAACGCCUUAUCACAUGGUACUUGAAUUUGCAUUCCACACAAUCCACUGUUAUUAGCAUAAGAAUUUGGAUUGUUCAUCCUGUCCAUUUGAGGGCCACUUGGAAUGGAACCCGUGAGCUUGUUGUUGCUCAA
rnacentral:misc_RNA from 1 species